rnacentral:rRNA from 1 species
CCGUCCAAGUCACGAAAGUUGGUAACACCCGAAGCCGGUGGCCUAACCCUUUUGGGAGGGAACCGUCGAAGGUGGGACUGGCGAUUGGGACUAAGUCGUAACAAGGUAGCCGUACCGGAAGGUGCGGCUGGAUCACCUCCUUUCU